UACGUAGGGGGCUAGCGUUGUUCGGAAUUACUGGGCGUAAAGCGCACGUAGGCGGACUACUAAGUCAGGGGUGAAAUCCCGGGGCUCAACCCCGGAACUGCCUUUGAUACUGGUCGUCUAGAGAUCGGAAGAGGUGAGUGGAAUUCCCAGUGUAGAGGUGAAAUUCGUAGAUAUUGGGAAGAACACCAGUGGCGAAGGCGGCUCACUGGUCCGAUACGUGACGCUGAGGUGCGAAAGCGUGGGGAGCGAACAGG
rnacentral:rRNA from 1 species